GACGAACGCUGGCGGCGUGCCUAAUACAUGCAAGUCGAGCGGAUCUUAUCCUUCGGGGUAAGGUUAGCGGCGGACGGGUGAGUAACACGUAGGCAACCUGCCUGUAAGACCGGGGUAACUACCGGAAACGGUAGCUAGGACCGGAUACGCGGUUUUAUCGCAUGAGAGAAUGGGGAAACAUGGGUUCGGCCCUGGCUUACCGAUAGCCCUGCGGCGCAUUAGCUAGUUGGUGGGGUAACGGCCUACCAAGGCGACGAUGCGUAGCCGACCUGAGAGGGUGAUCGGCCACACUGGGACUGAGACACGGCCCAGACUCCUACGGGAGGCAGCAGUAGGGAAUCUUCGGCAAUGGACGAAAGUCUGACCGAGCAACGCCGCGUGAGUGAAGAAGGUUUUCGGAUCGUAAAGCUCUGUUGCCAGGGAAGAACACUUGUGAUAGGAAAUGAUCCUGAGGUGACGGUACCUGAGAAGAAAGCCCCGGCUAACUACGUGCCAGCCGCCGCAGUAAUAC
rnacentral:rRNA from 1 species